GGGGGUAUGGCGCAGCUGGUAGCGCACUUGCAUGGCAUGCAAGGGGUCAGGGGUUCGAAUCCCCUUACCUCCACCA
rnacentral:tRNA from 1 species